GAAAACUGUCAAGCAGUCUAUAAACUAAAUAAACAGAACACAGACACAUAACUUUUGUAUUUGGACAAUGAUCGUAGGACUGGUUUCAGCUAGGCAAUGUAUAAUGGGCCGAUCUAGGUGAAAAAUUCCCGCACCGAUACUGCACCCACAGUAUGUAGAGAGGACAACGAAUAACUUGUAUAUUAACGGCACUGUUCUGCUAAUUCACAAAGUUAUACUGUUGGAUUCAGUUAACGUAGAAAAAAAGAAAGAGGGAAAUCAACGAUAAGAUAUGAAGAAUUAUUGUUUACAGUGUGCCACGGUGACUGAGUGUGUCAUGCUCUCUCACUAACCAGAAGGGCCUUUUGUUCAGAAAGUAUCUCGAGAUUUUCCAGGUAGUUUCCCCUUGCCAGAGGUGUAGAACCGAUGAUCUGGCAAGGAACGGCGUCACGUCGUUCGGAUUGGACGAACAAAGUUCUGAAUACACGUUGGCGUUCACGUAAAAUAACUAUUGGAAUUGACGGUAAAUCCCGUUUCAUUCCAUUUAAUAAAGUUUAUAUUCCAUACGGAGGCGAUCAUAAUUUUACCCAAGACUGAUUUAUAUAAGCUUCUUUAACGUGCAUAUGGGUAAUCUAGUACAUAUUUGCAUUCAUAGAGUGCAUUUCUUUCGUCUGACAAUCCCUUUAUUUAAAACGUCAUAUUAAAAUGAUUGACAGGUUAUUGACGUGCCCUUUAACACAUAUUCAAAUUAUUAUAAUUCUAACGUAUGUUUACUAAUAACUGUAUAUUAAGAAUAUAAAUUAGUCAUGCUGUAGCAGUGUGGGGGGUGGACAAAUUUGGCCUUCAGAACAUGUUUUAACUGAUAUUUUAGUACUGUAAACAUUUCUAUGUGGUUCUUCCUUUCAACUCCAACUUUCAACUUUUAUUAGGAAUAAAAUCUUAUAGUGCACAGUCACAUUUUCCAUAUUGCGAUUUGUAAUCGAUGUGGCAGAAACAGCAGAAGUAUUAUAGACACUUUCAAGAUAAAUACUAAGCAGCAAAAGAAACGU